GGACUUUGAUGGCAAAUCCAGAAAGGUAAUUGCAGCAAUGCUGCUCCUCCAGGAGGUGGAAUAAGACUAUUGCCAGACAGAGAACCAAUGCACAAUAACCUUCUACAUAAGCGACAUAGGAUACACAGGCAUUAUUGGUUUGCUCCAACAAGGUAAGCAGACUGUUAACCCCCCUUCCCUGCCCAACCCAACCCACCAAACAAAUAAAAUAAAAUAAAAUCUCCUCAGUUUCGGGACAUUAACCAUUCCUCAUAGAAUGAGGCAAGUAAAAAGGAUGGGGGAAAAAGCUGCAUGCCUUGAUUAAAAAACUGAUAUAUAUGCCUCUUUUGAUAUUUUUCUUUAAUUAAAAAACCAAAAGAAAAAGGUGCAUGAGUGUCACAAAGCCAGUCCCCAAAGGUAAUGGCAGCAAGCACAGCUCCACCAGGCAAUGAAUAUGAAACCACACCUUCAUGCGGAAGAAAUUCCUGGAAGGAUUGAAACUUUUGAGAGGAACCAUCAACACCCAGCAACUUCCUAUCUGCUAUUUACUUAGAAAUAUACAAACAUGAUCGGUUUGCUACUUCAAGUUUAGAAGAUCUUCACCUAGAAGAAUUGCUUUCAUCACACUUGACAUUACACAUUCCACGUGGAAGGAGGCCAUCAGGUAAAGAACAAGAUACAUCUAUACUGAUGAUAAGUUUAAAUAAAAAAAAAAACAAAAGAAAUGUAUGUCUGUCUCAUGGCCAGUCCCAAAAGGUAAUUGCAACAAUGCUGCUCCUCCAGGCAAUGGAAUAUGAGACUGCCUUCAGGUGGAGGAUCUUCCUGGAAGGGCUUGAACUUUCAAGAAGAAUCAUCAACACCCGCGGAGGUUUACUUAGAAAUAUAUGAACAUGAUUGGUUUGCUCCAAAAAGUUAAGGAGACUUCCACCCAGAAAAAUCCCCUUUGUCAUGCUUGACAUUACCCAUCCAUUGUGGAAAGAGAAAUUUGGUCUGAAACAGCACAUUUCUAUCCUGAUGCUAAGUUUAAAUUAAAAAAGAACGAAAGAAAAAUGUGUAUGUCUGUCUCAUGGCCAGUCCCAAAAGGUAAUGGCAGCGAUGCUGCUCCUCCAGGAGCUGGAAUAUGAGACCGCCUUCGGGUGGAGGAGCUUCUUGAAAGGAUUGAACUUUCAAGAAGAACCAUCAACACCCAACGACUUUCUAUGUGACGUUUACUUAGGAAUAUACAAACAUGAUUGGUUUGCUCCCAGCAAGUUAAGGAGAUUUUCACCCAGAAAAAUCUCCCCGUCACCAAAACAUUGAUCAAAACUCUCUUGCAAUAGUAGAAAGAAAAAACAGUGGAGUACCAAAAAAAAAAAAAUCUUUUCUCUACUGCUUUGAUGGAAAUAACAAAUGAUUUGACAAUACCAGCUGAAAACCUUCACAAUCUCAAACAACAAAAUAGUAAACGAUUUGACAGUAUC
rnacentral:lncRNA from 1 species